rnacentral:rRNA from 1 species
UCGAGAAUAUUCCCCAAUGGACGAAAGUCUGAGGGAGCGACGCCGCGUGCAGGAUGAAGGCCUUCGGGUUGUAAACUGCUUUUCUCUGGGAAGAACACUGACCGUACCAGAGGAAUAAGAGGUUGCUAACUCUGUGCCAGCAGCAGCGGUAAUACAGAGACCUCGAGCGUUAUCCGGAUUUACUGGGCGUAAAGGGUCCGCAGGUGGUUUUGUAAGUCUUCGGUUAAAUCCUUGAGCUCAACUCGAGGACCGCCGAGGAAACUAUAAGACUAGAGACUGGGAGAGGCAAGCGGAAUUGCCGGUGUAGUAGUAAAAUGCGUUAAUAUCGGCAAGAACACCAAAUGCGAAGGCAGCUUGCUAGAACAGUUCUGACACUCAGGGACGAAAGCGUGGGUAGCGA